UACGUAAGGUGCAAGCGUUAUCCGGAAUCAUUGGGCGUAAAGCGUUCGUAGGCCGCCGAACAAGUUUGUGGUUAAAUCUGAUCGCUCAACGAUCAAAUCGCUACGAAAACUAUUCGGCUAGAGAACAGCAGAGGCAACUGGAAUUCUGCAUGUAGGGGUAAAAUCCGUUGAUAUGCAGAGGAACACCAAAAGCGAAGGCAGGUUGCUGGGCUGUUUCUGACGCUGAGGAACGAAAGCGUGGGGAGCAAACAGG
rnacentral:misc_RNA from 1 species